GGCCUCGUAGCUCAGUUGGCAGAGCGUUGGACAAGUAUCCCAAAGGUCACGGGUUCGAUUCCCACCGUGGUCA
rnacentral:tRNA from 1 species